rnacentral:rRNA from 1 species
GACGAACGCUGGCGGCGUGCCUAAUACAUGCAAGUCGAACGCAGUGGGGCCGGGUGAGUAAAACGUGGGUAACCUCCCAUCAGAGGGGAUAACACUUGGAAACAGGUGCUAAACCGCUACUGAUGGAUGGACCCGCGGUGCAUUCGCUAGUUGGUGAGGUAACGGCUCACCAAGGCCACGAUGCAGAGCCGACGUGAGAGGGUGAUCGGCCACACUGGGACAGAGACACGGCCCAGACUCCUACGGGAGGCAGCAGGAGGGAAUAUUCUGCAAUGGACGAAAGUCUGACCGAGCAACGCCGCGUGGGUGAAGAAGGUUUUCGGCUCGUAAAACUCUGUUGUUAGAGAAGCGGGAUCUAACCAGGAAGCCACGGCUAACUACGUGCCAGCAGCCGCGGUAAUUC